rnacentral:rRNA from 1 species
GAUGAACGCUGGCGGCGUGCUUAACACAUGCAAGUCGAACGGAAAGGCUCCUGCUUGCAGGGGUACUCGAGUGGCGAACGGGUGAGUAACACGUGGGUGAUCUGCCCUGCACUUCGGGAUAAGCCUGGGAAACUGGGUCUAAUACCGGAUAGGACGAUGGUUUGGAUGCCAUUGUGGAAAGUUUUUCGGUGUGGGAUGAGCUCGCGGCCUAUCAGCUUGUUGGUGGGGUAAUGGCCUACCAAGGCGUCGACGGGUAGCCGGCCUGAGAGGGUGUACGGCCACAUUGGGGCUGAGAUACGGCCCAGACUCCUACGGGAGGCAGCAGUGGGGAAUAUUGCACAAUGGGCGCAAGCCUGAUGCAGCGACGCCGCGUGGGGGAUGACGGCCUUCGGGUUGUAAACUCCUUUCGCUAGGGACGAAGCGUUUUGUGACGGUACCUGGAGAAGAAGCACCGGCUAACUACGUG